AAAGUACUGAGGACUUUGCUAUCCAGCUUUCUUCACAACUGUCAACACAGCCUUAGGACUGACAGUCACUUCUACCUACUCUGUAACCUUGAACCCAGUCAUGUAUCUCAUAUCUUUCCAGGUUCUGAGCCAAUUGUCCACAGGACUCCAGGACCCAUGAAGAAAGAAGUUUCCCUCUUUCCAAAACUCAAAAGAAUGAGUAUAAGAUCAAGGAGAGAGCCUUGGCAGCUCAGAGUAAACUUCCCUUCCACCCAGAGCGGUUUUGUUUACUGAGCCUAAUUUUCAUUCUUCUGGUGCUGAAACCCCAGGAAUGGCAUAAAUGAGCACCCUUCCAAGGAACUUGGCUACCCCGAACCAAGAUGCUGAUCUGACUUUCCUAAGGUAUGAAUACAGAUCAAUUGUUUCUACUGUCUUUUGCCACCCACCAUAUUUGGCCUCAUUCCAAAUUUUGUCUUGGUCUCUCUAGCGGGUUAAGUGUCACCCUGGAGCAGCAUGCUUUGUUUACUAUUACUACAAAAGGCACACCAGAGUGCCAGGAAGCUCUUCCCCUGCCCGCCCCCCUCGCCUUGGGCUCACUCACAAGGACAAGGGACACCUCUCCUCUGUGUUUUGAAACAUUUCUCUUUGACAAAUUUCGCAUUCUGCUUGGAGACAUGCCAGAUGGAAAUUCUUGUCACAAUGACACUUUAUCCACCUCAGUUCAGCUAGUGUUCUCUCGCCUUCCUCUAGGAACUGCAAUUCUGCCUGGGCUCCCACUGCCUGUUCUGUUCUAUCUCUUCCUUUAAGCCCUCCUAGGUAGUUCCCUCCUCGAGCAGAGCUCUCCCCACAGGCAGCACAGCCUGCUUACUCCCGUUACAGAACAUUUGUUUACACUGUGAAGAUGUAUCUUUGCCAAGGCACCUCCUGAUUGGUUUAAAAAGGAGCUGAAUAUCCAAAAGCUAGGCUGGCAGUCCAAAGAUAGUUCAACAAGAAAACUUGCUAUAUAUGACGCCCAAUGUGGCCAUAUAUAUCCAAGAAAAGCCCGAAAAGGCUUUAAAAAAAAAAGUUAUCAAACAUGGCCUCCUGGCAACCACGGUAUCUUGGGUAGGCUCAGCAUGCAGAGGCACGGCUCUUCUAAGAGACCUGCUGUGCAGCAGAGUACCUGAGCAGUCAGCCCACUCAGUAAAGAUGCCCGCCACAUCAGCACAUUUCUAGAGCUGGGACAGUAACCAAGGCUCCCACUGACACAAGCUGACAUGAGGUCAGGUUCUCACAGAACUAAGGAGGGCAGAGCAAGGCCACCAGAGCUGCAGGUAGCAGCCUAGCCAUUUAAGGUUUGUCUCCCAGUCAGAGAAGGCUGCAGAUGCACAGUAAAAUGGUCCAGAGGCCACCCAGGUCCACAGGAUGAAUUCCAGGACAGCCAGGGCUGUUACACAUAGAAA